GUAGGGUGCGAGCGUUGUCCGGAAUUAUUGGGCGUAAAGAGCUUGUAGGCGGUUUGUCGCGUCUGCUGUGAAAAUCCGGGGCUCAACCCCGGACUUGCAGUGGGUACGGGCAGACUAGAGUGUGGUAGGGGAGACUGGAAUUCCUGGUGUAGCGGUGAAAUGCGCAGAUAUCAGGAGGAACACCGAUGGCGAAGGCAGGUCUCUGGGCCACUACUGACGCUGAGAAGCGAAAGCGUGGGGAGCGAACAGGAUUAGAUACCCUGGUAGUCCACGCCGUAAACGUUGGGAACUAGGUGUGGGUCUCAUUCCACGAGAUCUGUGCCGCAGCUAACGCAUUAAGUUCCCCGCCUGGGGAGUACGGCCGCAAGGCUAAA
rnacentral:rRNA from 1 species